CUUGUCUGGAAAACAUAUAGUAAAUUCUUGAGAAGAUGAAAAAGCCUGAAUUUCUCCGAUUCUUUUAGCAGAUAUUAUGGCUACUAAAAAAGUGGCCCUAGAGACAAGAGCUUCAAGGAAAUUUCUUCCAAAGAUUCGACUUUUCUAGGUUUAUGACCCAACCAUGCUCCUUUAAGAUUCUUAGAGUGUAAUUCACAUCUUCUACCAGAGCGUUUCUUGAUUUUGCUUUGAUAAACCAAUCGUCUAAGUAGGGAAUGAUGGUAAUACCCUUUUCCCUUAAGACAGCAGUGAUAGGGGCUAAGACCUCCGUGAAGAUCCUCGGUGCUGAGGAGAGUCUGAAUAGCAGGGCUUUUAACUGGAAUUGAUGAAUCUUGCUCUCAGUAGGACCUUGGGUGUUUUAUAGAAAACCUUAGGUAUUUCCUUGAGACUUCCUUCAUAGUAAUGUG